AUUGAACGCUGGCGGCAUGCCUUACACAUGCAAGUCGAACGGCAGCACGGGAGCAAUCCUGGUGGCGAGUGGCGAACGGGUGAGUAAUAUAUCGGAACGUGCCCAGUCGUGGGGGAUAACGCAGCGAAAGCUGUGCUAAUACCGCAUACGAUCUACGGAUGAAAGCGGGGGAUCGCAAGACCUCGCGCGAUUGGAGCGGCCGAUAUCAGAUUAGCUAGUUGGUGAGGUAAAGGCCCACCAAGGCGACGAUCUGUAGCUGGUCUGAGAGGACGACCAGCCACACUGGAACUGAGACACGGCCCAGACUCCUACGGGAGGCAGCAGUGGGGGAAUUUUUGGGACAAUGGGCGCAAGCCUGAUCCAGCAAUGCCGCGUGCAGGAUGAA
rnacentral:rRNA from 1 species